rnacentral:rRNA from 1 species
GAAACAUCUUAGUACCCGGAGGAAGAGAAAGAAAAUUCGAUUCCCUUAGUAGCGGCGAGCGAAACGGGAAGAGCCCAAACCAACAAGCUUGCUUGUUGGGGUUGUAGGACACUCUAUACGGAGUUACAAAGGACGACAUUAGACGAAUCAUCUGGAAAGAUGAAUCAAAGAAGGUAAUAAUCCUGUAGUCGAAAAUGUUGUCUCUCUUGAGUGGAUCCUGAGUACGACGGAGCACGUGAAAUUCCGUCGGAAUCUGGGAGGACCAUCUCCUAAGGCUAAAUACUCUCUAGUGACCGAUAGUGAACCAGUACCGUGAGGGAAAGGUGAAAAGCACCCCGGAAGGGGAGUGAAAUAGAACCUGAAACCGUGUGCUUACAAGUAGUCAGAGCCCGUUAAUGGGUGAUGGCGUGCCUUUUGUAGAAUGAACCGGCGAGUUACGAUUUGAUGCAAGGUUAAGCAGUAAAUGUGGAGCCGUAGCGAAAGCGAGUCUGAAUAGGGCGUUUAGUAUUUGGUCGUAGACCCGAAACCAGGUGAUCUACCCUUGGUCAGGUUGAAGUUCAGGUAACACUGAAUGGAGGACCGAACCGACUUACGUUGAAAAGUGAGCGGAUGAACUGAGGGUAGCGGAGAAAUUCCAAUCGAACCUGGAGAUAGCUGGUUCUCUCCGAAAUAGCUUUAGGGCUAGCCUCAAGUGAUGAUUAUUGGAGGUAGAGCACUGUUUGGACGAGGGGCCCCUCUCGGGUUACCGAAUUCAGACAAACUCCGAAUGCCAAUUAAUUUAACUUGGGAGUCAGAACAUGGGUGAUAAGGUCCGUGUUCGAAAGGGAAACAGCCCAGACCACCAGCUAA